AGAGUUUGAUCCUGGCUCAGGAUGAACGCUGGCGGCGUGCUUAACACAUGCAAGUCGAACGGGCGCUUUGGGAAACUGGAGCGCUAGUGGCAAACGGGUGCGUAACACGUGGGUGACCUACCUCAAAGUGGGGAACAACAGACCGAAAGGUUUGCUAAUACCGCAUUAGCUUGGCGAUUCAGUUUGCUGAGUAAAGCCGUAAGGCGCUUUGAGAGGGGCCCGCGUCCCAUCAGGUAGUUGGUGAGGUAAUGGCCCACCAAGCCGAUGACGGGUAGCUGUUCUGAGAGGAAGAUCAGCCACACUGGCACUGAGAUACGGGCCAGACUCCUACGGGAGGCAGCAGUGAGGAAUAUUGCGCAAUGGACGAAAGUCUGACGCAGCGACGCCGCGUGGGCGAUGAAGGCCUUCGGGUCGUAAAGCCCUUUUGGCAGGGACGAGUGAGGACGGUACCUGUCGAAUAAGUCUCGGCUAACUACGUGCCAGCAGCCGCGGUAAAACGUAGGAGGCGAGCGUUAUCCGGAUUCACUGGGCGUAAAGCGUGCGUAGGCGGUUGGGUAAGUCGGACGUUAAAGCCCCUGGCUCAACUAGGGGAGGUCGUUCGAUACUGCUUGGCUUGAGGAUGAGAGAGGAAAGCGGAAUUCCCGGUGUAGCGGUGGAAUGCGUAGAGAUCGGGAGGAACACCAGUGGCGAAAGCGGCUUUCUGGCUCAUUUCUGACGCUGAGUGCACGAAAGCGUGGGGAGCAAACGGGAUUAGAUACCCCGGUAGUCCACGCUCUAAACGAUGAGAGCUGGGUGUUGGCAGGGUUUCCUGUCAGUGCCGAAGCAAACGCGUUAAGCUCUCCGCCUGGGGACUACGAACGCAAGUUUAAAACUCAAAGGAAUUGACGG
rnacentral:rRNA from 1 species